rnacentral:misc_RNA from 1 species
GAUGAAGAACGUAGCGAAAUGCGAUAAGUAAUGUGAAUUGCAGAAUUCAGUGAAUCAUCGAAUCUUUGAACGCACAUUGCGCCCGCCAGUAUUCUGGCGGGCAUGCCUGUUCGAGCGUCAUUACAACCCUCAGGCCCCCGGGCCUGGCGUUGGGGAUCGGCGGGAGCCCCCUGUGGGCACACGCCGUCCCUCAAAUACAGUGGCGGUCCCGCCGCAGCUUCCAUUGCGUAGUAGCUAACACCUCGCAACUGGAGAGCGGCGCGGCCAUGCCGUAAAACACCCAACUUCUGAAUGUUGACCUCGAAUCAGGUAGGAAUACCCGCUGAACUUAAGCAUAUCAAUAAGCGGAGGA